UCUCUCUCUCCCGCUUCGCCUAAAACUAAAAACCCAACCGUUGCUCUCAGCCUCCUCUUCCGCUCUCUCUCAAAAUCGGAGAAAUGCCAUGUCUCUCGCGGCUUCUCCGCCUCAAACACCGUAAUCCCCUCCCUCUCUCCCGCGUUUUCUCCUCUCCUUCUCCGUCUCCGUCUCCGUCUCCGUCUCCGUCUCCGUCAUCUCUGACUGCGUCAUCUCCUUCUCCGUCUCCGUCUCCGUCUCCGCCUCCGUCAUCUCCUUCUCGUCCUUCUGUUAAAUCCAUCCUCAAAGACCUCUUCGAAGAAACUGACCUCCAAAACCUAGUCCGGAAAUUCAAAUCCUCCUCCCAAUCAUACCGCUUCCGCUGCAAGCACCGCAUCUACUCCGUCACAGUCCGCCGCCUGGCUUCCGCCGGCCUACACGACUCCAUUGCUGACAUCCUCGAUCACCAGAAGCAUUUCCCCGAUAUCUCCACCGAAGGUUUCGCGGUCCGCCUCAUUGCCCUCAAUGGUGAAUCCGGCAUGUUCGACCACGCCCGCGACCUGUUCGACGAAUUGCCCCAGUUGAACUGCCCCCGCACUACCAAAUCCUUCAACGCCCUCUUAACCGCUGCCCUCGAUUCCCAGCUCUUCUCAAAAGUUCCGGAACUUUUUGACACUCUACCCUCUAAAAUCUCCGUAAAGCCUGAUGUUUUCUCUUAUAGUAUUUUGAUUCAGGCAUGGUGUAAAAUGGGUUCUUUGGAUUCUGCUGUUUCGGCAUUGGAAAUAAUGGAGUUGAAUGGGGUGAGACCGAGUUUGAUUACGUUUAAUCUUCUUUUAAAUGGGCUUUACACAGGGAGUCGGUUUUCAGAUGCGGAGAAGCUUUGGUUUAAAAUGGAAGAGUAUAACUGUGUUCCCGAUAUUAUCAGUUAUAAUGAGAGAUUGAGAGGGCUGGUUUUGGAGGGGAAGACGGAGGAGGCUGUUAAGUUGGUUGGUGAGUUUGGGAAUCGUGGGUUGAAACCUAAUGUUUUUAGUUUCAAUUCAUUGAUUAAAGGGUAUUGCAAUGAUGGAAACUUAGAGGAGGCAAAGAGGGUCUUAAGCGAGUUGGUGAAGAACGAUUGUGCCCCGAAUCGGCGGACAUUUGAGACUCUAAUUCCUUGUGCAUGUGAGAAGGGGGAUUUAGAUUUGGCAGUGAAGUUGUGUAAGGAGUGUAUGAAUCGGCGGUGUUUUGUUGAUGUGCAGAUUGUGCAGAGUGUGGUUGAUGCGUUGGUUAGGGAGUCAAGGGUCAAAGAUGCCAAGAAGCUUGUGGAGCUUGGGGUGUCGAGUGGUUUGCGGCCUCAGUCUGGCUUGAAAUUGCCGUCUGGGAUUGAAUGAUGUUGCAUUCCCUAUAUUAACUUUUAUUUUAGUUGGAACAGUGUAUGCUCCUACUUAAAAGUGAAAGAGGCUUCCAAUAGGGCUCCCAUAGUGCACCAACCUCAAGGAAAUCAAAAGAGAAGGGGGAUGGAUUGAUGGGUUCAAAUAGGAGAUUAAAGCUUCAAGUCAUAUGCCUCGUACCUCACUUCAAUGCUUAUAACAUAUAAAGUCUCUGCAUUAUCUAUAUGUGAUUUGGCCUUUUCUACAAUGUCUUCUGUUAUUGAUGACGACGACGGCGACUUGAUGACAUGGGGACAGUUUUUCUUUUAAGAAUCAAAGAGAGCAUCAAGUCAUUAUGAUGGUACUCUCUUCAGAGGAUUAUGUCACUUCUAGAGAUUGGUUGCAUAGCAUUGCUUGAAUAGCUUGGACUUUCCAUGUGUAGGUUGCAUUUGUACCGGCUGAAGCGAUACUCAUUGCAUCCUAGAAAAUGGAAGAUGACUGUUAUAAAACAAAAGGGAGGGAAAGUGGGAUUCAGAAGGGAGUGGUCUGGCAAAUCUGUAAGGUGGGCGGGCUACGGCAUGUUUCCAAGCGGCUUCUUUGUCCCUUCUCUCUGUGUAUGUGUUCGGCAUGCGCUUGUGUAUGUCUAUGGCUUUUUGGGCUAUGUUUUCAUCAUAAAUUUGUAUCUUUUCAGUCACA